UAAUUAGUAAGCAUAAACCAAAGGAAAAAAAAAAAAGAAACGAAAAAAAAAAGCCCAAUGAGAGGAAUUACUUUAUUACUAUUUCCGACCAAAUCAGACUUGGAUCAAAGCCAGAUUUUAUUAAUAUUUCGUCCUUAACAUUACAAACAACAUUAACAGUACGAAACUGUCAGGUCGUCCACUAGGCUCACUGUAACCUUGAUCUGGUGGUGCGGAAGUUAACAAGUUUCCAGUUCGCCUUUGCGUGGUGGAGGUCAGCCGCCAGUUGAGGUGGCUUUAGGUUAUUCCGGCAGAGUGGACAAGUCCUGUGCCCAUGUCGUACCCAUUUAUCUAAGCAAACUCUGUGAUAAAAAUGGUUGCAUCUCAGCUCUCUAAUCUCAGUCCCUUCGUCAAUUCUGCAUAAACAAACAGCACACUCGACUGAUGAAUCCCCAAACUCUGCAUUAUUAACGUUUUCAUAACGCGUUACAGAAAGCUCAUCAGUAUAGUCUGGUGACUCAAUUUCUUGAGGCCGAAAGAAGGAUUGGAGAAGAAGGUAAUCCCAUGUAAACUGCAACAAGCGUGCAAUAAAAAUUAUGUAUUUCAUUAAUACAACAGAGCUUGGCUGCAACCUAAGUUGAAUCAUCUUAUAUAUAGAAUAUAUAGUUUCUUGGAAAUAAUGUUCUAUUGCUGCAGAUUGUUUUACAAGUAAAAUGGUAUUAUGGCAG
rnacentral:lncRNA from 1 species